rnacentral:rRNA from 1 species
GGCGGCAGGCUUAACACAUGCAAGUCGAGCGCCCCGCAAGGGGAGCGGCAGACGGGAGAGUAACACGUGGGAACGUACCCUUCGGUUCGGAACAACCCAGGGAAACUUGGGCUAAUACCGGAUACGUCCGUAAGGAGAAAGAUUCAUCGCCGAGGGAUCGGCCCGCGUCUGAUUAGCUAGUUGGUGGGGUAACGGCUCACCAAGGCGACGAUCAGUAGCUGGUCUGAGAGGAUGAUCAGCCUCACUGGGACUGAGACACGGCCCAGACUCCUACUGGAGGCAGCAGUGGGGAAUAUUGGACAAUGGGCGCAAGCCUGAUCCANCCAUGCCGCGUGGGUGAUGAAGGCCCUAGGGUUGUNAAGCCCUUUCGGCGGGGAAGAUAAUGACGGUACCGCNAGAAUAAGCCCCGGCUAACUUCGUGCCAGCAGCCGCGGU